GAUGAACGCUGGCGGCGUGCCUAAUACAUGCAAGUCGAGCGAACAGACGAGGAGCUUGCUCCUCUGACGUUAGCGGCGGACGGGUGAGUAACACGUGUAUAACCUACCUAUAAGACGGGGAUAACUUCGGGAAACCGGAGCUAAUACCGGAUAAUAUAUUGAACCGCAUGGUUCAAUAGUGAAAGACGGUUUUGCUGUCACUUAUAGAUGGAUCCGCGCCGCAUUAGCUAGUUGGUAAGGUAACGGCUUACCAAGGCAACGACGCGUAGCCGACCUGAGAGGGUGAUCGGCCACACUGGAACUGAGACACGGUCCAGACUCCUACGGGAGGCAGCAGUAGGGAAUCUUGCGCAAUGGGCGAAAGCCUGACGGAGCAACGCCGCGUGAGUGAUGAAGGUCUUCGGAUCGUAAAACUCUGUUAGUAGGGAAGAACAAAUGUGUAAGUAAAUAUGCACGUAUUGACGGUACCUAAUCAGAAAGCCACGGCUAACUACGUG
rnacentral:rRNA from 1 species